rnacentral:lncRNA from 1 species
GGGGGCACAAAUUGCUCAAAGAGGUGAAAGAAUUUUCCAUAAUCCAAGGAGGAGGAGGAAGAGGAAGUGUGGGAGUAAUUACAGAAUUAAGAUCACUGAAAGAGGAGGCUGUCCUUAAGGGUGGAACCGUUGGUUGAUGAGGCCUGGAGACAUCUGAGAUGUAGAUCACAAGAGCUUCUGAAAAUUCAACUAUUAAAUCAACACAAUGUAUCAGAAUAGAGAUAUAAAAAAUGGAUUCCCGGACCAAUAGAACUGAGACGUAACUUCACAUAUCUAAGGAAAGAGGUUAAUUAAAAAAAGAGAUUGAUCAUCUGUGGAAGCCUGGAGGGGGG